rnacentral:lncRNA from 1 species
GAUGAAGGACAAGGUUGACUGGAAAAGGAUGAGGGGAAGGGAGGGGCCAGGAGCCCCCUCAUCAGAGUGGAAGAAAGACGCCCAGACAGCUGGCUGGAGCUGGUAGGGAUCAGCACCCUAGGAUGGGCCACAGAAGGAAGGGAUGGACCUGGAUGCUGGGGCCUCCACUUAAAGGAAAGUUGGAGGGAAUCAAGGGACUGCCUCCGUGGGACGGAGGAGAACCCGGGAGACGUGGCCCUUGUUUGGUGCUGUGACCGGAGAAGAACCACUGUGGAGAUGCAGAGUUUGGGCAGUAAACUCCCAGGACAGCUUUUUUCUCAAUGCCGUGGCGUCCCCCACCCCAAGGCCUGUUCUCCCCUUCCGAGUCAUCGACAUCCUCAGACAAAGAGAAGUUCCAGAUCACCUGCUUGGGAGACAUGCAAGGAACCUGGAAGUUAUCCUUGUCAUCUCCAGUUUCCAGUCCAUCACAAGUCCAGAGGUCCAGAGAGUUUUAGCUCUGCCACUUGUCUGUAAGCUUUAUCUGAAUAAUUAAUAGCAAGUGAUGAAAAUAAUCUGAUUAGUUAAUUGACUGAAGGAGUGGGUGAAGGGGAGGAGGAUUAACAGAAGGUGGAUAGAGGGAUCCUGGCCCGAGGAAUCUCCAAGACUCACCUCCAAACUACAUAGAGCAGGUGCCUCUACCUGUGCUGUUUACCUCUCCUUGUCUCUCUGAAUAAAGUGCAACCCUCUCACUCACAGAAAACAUGUUUCAAUCCACUGAAGGUUAGAACAGUCCUGAGCCUGGAACAGCCCCAACACAUUGGAGAGGCUAAAAAAAAAAAAAAAAAAAAUGCAAAAGGCUUCUGUCCUCCUGCCAGACUGAC